rnacentral:piRNA from 1 species
UCCCCUAUCCUUGACCGGACCUAAGCCAAG